rnacentral:rRNA from 1 species
UACGGGGGGUGCGAGCGUUGCUCGGAAUCAUUGGGCGUAAAGCGUACGCAGGCGGCUAUUCAAGUCGGGUGUGAAAGCCCAGGGCUCAACCCUGGAAAUGCGCCCGAGACUGGAUGGCUUGAGUGCGGGAGAGGGAAGCGGAAUUCCUGGUGUAGAGGUGAAAUUCGUAGAUAUUCGGAAGAACACCAGUGGCGAAGGCGGCUCACUGGCCCGUUACCGACGCUCAGGCGCGACAGCGUGGGGAGCAAACAGG